rnacentral:rRNA from 1 species
UUAGCCCUACGGGGCGCAGCAGUGGGGAAUAUUGCACAAUGGGGGAAACCCUGAUGCAGCAACGCCGCGUGAGUGAAGAAGUAUUUCGGUAUGUAAAGCUCUAUCAGCAGGGAAGUGAAUGACGGUACCUGACUAAGAAGCCCCGGCUAACUACGUGCCAGCAGCCGCGGUAAGACGUAGGUGACAAGCGUUGUCCGGAUUUACUGGGUGUAAAGGGCGCGUAGGCGGGAUAGCAAGUCAGUCGUGAAAUGCCGAGGCUUAACCUCGGAGCUGCGAUUGAAACUGUUAUUCUUGAGUAUCGGAGG